rnacentral:rRNA from 1 species
GAUGAACGCUGGCGGCGUGCCUAAUACAUGCAAGUCGAGCGAACGGACGAGAAGCUUGCUUCUCUGAUGUUAGCGGCGGACGGGUGAGUAACACGUGGAUAACCUACCUAUAAGACUGGGAUAACUUCGGGAAACCGGAGCUAAUACCGGAUAAUAUUUUGAACCGCAUGGUUCAAAAGUGAAAGACGGUCUUGCUGUCACUUAUAGGUGGAUCCGCGCUGCAUUAGCUAGUUGGUAAGGUAACGGCUUACCAAGGCAACGAUGCAUAGCCGACCUGAGAGGGUGAUCGGCCACACUGGAACCGAGACACGGUCCAGACUCCUACGGGAGGCAGCAGUAGGGAAUCUUCCGCAAUGGGCGAAAGCCUGACGGAGCAACGCCGCGUGAGUGAUGAAGGUCUUCGGAUCGUAAAACUCUGUUAUUAGGGAAGAACAUAUGUGUAAGUAACUGUGCGCAUCUUGACGGUACCUAAUCAGAAAGCCACGGCUAACUACGUGCCAGCAGCCGCGGUAAUACGUAGGUGGCAAGCGUUAUCCGGAAUUAUUGGGCGUAAAGCGCGCGUAGGCGGUUUUUUAAGUCUGAUGUGAAAGCCCACGGCUCAACCGUGGAGGGUCAUUGGAAACUGGAAAACUUGAGUGCAGAAGAGGAAAGUGGAAUUCCAUGUGUAGCGGUGAAAUGCGCAGAGAUAUGGAGGAACACCAGUGGCGAAGGCGACUUUCUGGUCUGUAACUGACGCUGAUGUGCGAAAGCGUGGGGAUCAAACAGGAUUAGAUACCCUGGUAGUCCACGCCGUAAACGAUGAGUGCUAAGUGUUAGGGGGUUUCCGCCCCUUAGUGCUGCAGCUAACGCAUUAAGCACUCCGCCUGGGGAGUACGACCGCAAGGUUGAAACUCAAAGGAAUUGACGGGGACCCGCACAAGCGGUGGAGCAUGUGGUUUAAUUCGAAGCAACGCGAAGAACCUUACCAAAUCUUGACAUCCUUUGACAACUCUAGAGAUAGAGCCUUCCCCUUCGGGGGACAAAGUGACAGGUGGUGCAUGGUUGUCGUCAGCUCGUGUCGUGAGAUGUUGGGUUAAGUCCCGCAACGAGCGCAACCCUUAAGCUUAGUUGCCAUCAUUAAGUUGGGCACUCUAAGUUGACUGCCGGUGACAAACCGGAGGAAGGUGGGGAUGACGUCAAAUCAUCAUGCCCCUUAUGAUUUGGGCUACACACGUGCUACAAUGGACAAUACAAAGGGCAGCGAAACCGCGAGGUCAAGCAAAUCCCAUAAAGUUGUUCUCAGUUCGGAUUGUAGUCUGCAACUCGACUACAUGAAGCUGGAAUCGCUAGUAAUCGUAGAUCAGCAUGCUACGGUGAAUACGUUCCCGGGUCU